ACAAAGGAAAGCCCACAAUGGGGAAACUAAACAUAAACUAGAACACUCGGGCAGGAGGACACAUACCAGGCUAACAACAUACAACGAUCGAUAAGGAGUGAACAAGAAACAGGGCUUAAAUACACAAGGACAGGAUGAUUACAAAUGAUAAACAGGUGUGAACAAUGACACAAAAUGGCAGUGAUGACGGCAGGUGGAUUGUGGGAAAUGUAGUUCGGACAAAGACAAGUGAAACCAGGGCAGACAACAAGGGAAUCGUGACAAAUGGCUAGUGAUGGGAAGUCUGGCUCUUUUCAAAGAUUUAAUUUAAGAUUGAUGUUUCAAUCUUAAAUAUUUUAUUCUGUGACUUUGAUUCAUAUUUACGUACUGCACAAUACUGUUUUUCUACCUCAGAUUGUGUUGGACCUGGAAGUAAUGGGUGAGGAUGAGACAAGUUUCCAGGAACACAUUAAUGCCAUCACCCUGGAGUUGCGUAAAAGCAACCCCAGUUACUCUGAGGUCAAGAACCGAAUGAAGCGCACUCUUUUCAAAAGAGUACAGAUUAUGGACAGGCCUGCAGCUGAAGUAAUGGAGCAGUUUCCUUUUCUUGGGGUGCCACAGCUUAUGCUGCAUGAAAUGACAAUGAGGUUUGGAACAGACUUGGCGAAGAACAUGGAAACAUCUCUAAAUGAAAUGGCCCCAAACAUCAUCAGGAGUGCAAAAGAAGGAAGUCAAAAAAAACCUCUACACAAAUCUCUUUGGACCAGCAGAGGAAACCACAGAGGGUCUCUUUAGGAAUGCUGCACUCAUUUUAUUGCCAGCACUAUUCAAAGAAAAUGCCACUUUCCUCUACUGUGUGGAUAGUGAACCCAAAGGUCCUACACCCACCAUUGUGUUUAAUGGCUCUCCUGAUCCCUCAAUGCUGAAAGUGUCAGCAUUAUAAUGGACAACGUGACCAUUAUAAGAGAGGCAGACAUCGACAUGUCAC